rnacentral:rRNA from 1 species
AUUGAACGCUGGCGGCAUGCCUUACACAUGCAAGUCGAACGGCAGCAUAGGAGCUUGCUCCUGAUGGCGAGUGGCGAACGGGUGAGUAAUAUAUCGGAACGUGCCCUAGAGUGGGGGAUAACUAGUCGAAAGACUAGCUAAUACCGCAUACGAUCUACGGAUGAAAGUGGGGGAUCGCAAGACCUCAUGCUCCUGGAGCGGCCGAUAUCUGAUUAGCUAGUUGGUGGGGUAAAAGCCUACCAAGGCAACGGUCAGUAGCUAGUCUGAGAGGACGACCAGCCACACUGGGACUGAGACACGGCCCAGACUCCUACGGGAGGCAGCAGUGGGGAAUUUUGGACAAUGGGGGCAACCCUGAUCCAGCAAUGCCGCGUGAGUGAAGAAGGCCUUCGGGUUGUAAAGCUCUUUUGUCAGGGAAGAAACGGUAGUAGCGAAUAACUAUUACUAAUGACGGUACCUGAAGAAUAAGCACCGGCUAACUACGUGCCAGCCGCCGCCGUAA